CAGCCGCCGCGGGAAUACGAAGGGUGCAAGCGUUACUCGGAAUUACUGGGCGUAAAGCGUGCGUAGGUGGUGGUUUAAGUCCGUUGUGAAAGCCCUGGGCUCAACCUGGGAAUUGCAGUGGAUACUGGGUCACUAGAGUGUGGUAGAGGAUAGUGGAAUUUCCGGUGUAGCAGUGAAAUGCGUAGAGAUCGGAAGGAACAUCUGUGGCGAAGGCGACUAUCUGGGCCAACACUGACACUGAGGCACGAAAGCGUGGGGAGCAAACAGGAUUAGAGACCCCCGUAGUCCCUGUCUCUUAUAA
rnacentral:rRNA from 1 species